AGAUCGGAAAACCAGGCCUGGGGUGUUAAUUGUGGCUAAUUUUCCCUUGGCUGUUGAGGGAGGGAGGAUUGUGUGUCCUAGAGCAAGAGGCUGGGCCAAGCCCUGGCUUUCCCCUCUGGCUGCAGCUGCCUCUACUUGGCCGGAGACGGGUCUGGCUGGUUAGUCUAGUGAUUGGUAGGGGUGGAAGGUGAUCCAGGGCCCCAUUUCUGUGAGGCAUCAGUUUGGCGUAAGAGCUUAGUUGGCAGGAAACAGCUCUGGUCCCCAAAGCUCUGGUCCCCAAACUUCAGCAGACCGGUAGGGUUCAGGGAGAAUGGAGGGUUAUCAGGGAAGAACCUGUCCUGAGUUCUCUGACAGAGCCUUCUGGGGAGAGAGUCAGGGACAUCAGGCUCACCCGUGUGUGUGUGUGUGUGUGUGUGUGUGUGUGUGUGUGUGUGUGUGUGAAUUUGAGACUGACUGCAUAUGUCUCGUGUGUCUGUGAUUAUAUCCUGUUUGUGUCCCUGUAAAGCGUGUGUGUGCGUGCGCGCGCGCGUGUGUGUGUGUGUGUGUGUGUGUGUGUGUGUGUGUGUGAGCUUGUGUGGGAAAAAUACAGAGGUGAAAGGUAAGGCUAUGGGAUAAAGGUACAGCCUCUGGGGAUAGAUUUAGAGGCAGACUGCAGUCCUCUGGGAGGGCUGCUGAGGGAAUUGCACAGACUUCCUUUUGCUGAGCUAGGAUGUGAAGGGGCAGACACUGGUCCUGUGGGCAAGAGGGCAGCUGGGAAUUUCUUUUGCUCCAGUCUGUGUUGGAGUGAUUAUCCAAGAAAAUGUAAACAGAGGCCUCUCUCUUGGUGAAAAGGAUGUCAGAGCCCCAGGGUGUUAGUGUGAGAACCCGGGUGUCCACCUUUGGCUCUCCCUUCUCAGCAUCUGGCUUAGGGAGCUGCCAGCUUGUGUCUCCCUACUCCAAGUGCUGGGGUCAGGCCAGGCCAGCAGCUGGGCAUGGCUUCCCCGCUUCCUGGGCAAGUUGCCAGCUGGCAAAGUGAGGGGGAAGGCAGGAGGAGCCCUGGCGAGGGCUGAAAGGACCUGCCACAGUCUGAGCCGGUGGCUAGAGUCUGGUCUCUUGUUAGUAGGAGGGGAGAAAAGGGAGUGGCUUGGCUACUCUUCCUUUCUGACCCUUGACCUCCCAUUCAGAACCAGAGGAUCCCAGAGUACUAGAAAUACUCAGUUUGCAUCCGUUGAAGGGCAGUGAAAUUUAGAGGAAUUAAUGCCUGGGUUCCUAGAGAGUACGACUGAGUCGGGAAGAAAGGGGACAAGGAAGAACCUCAGGGGUUUUCUGGUGCUCUUCUCUCCAAAGAUAAAGAUGAUAUCCGGCUGCUGCCUUCAGCAUUGGGUGUGAAGAAGAGAAAGCGAGGACCCAAAAAGCAGAAGGAAAACAAGCCAGGCAAGCCCCGGAAACGCAAGAAGCUUGACAGUGAAGAGGAAUUUGGCUCAGAGCGAGAUGAGUACCGGGAGAAGUCAGAGAGUGGAGGCAGCGAGUAUGGAACUGGACCUGGUCGGAAACGGAGAAGGAAGCACCGA